rnacentral:lncRNA from 1 species
UUUUCUCCACCACAUUGGUCAAACGGUUGUAUAAAUGUGUUUUUGGUUGUUCUAGAUUUGCUUGAAUCUGAGAGUUGCUCAUUUCUGCUUUGACAUUACUAGUACAUUCUUGACAGGCCACCUUCAAGAUUGCAGUCGAUGUACCAUCAGAGCUGACAGCUUUGUCCAAUAUGCCAAUUAUCAGUGAAAAGCUUGAUGCAAAUGUUAAGACUGUUUAUUUUGAGGAAUCUCCUAUUAUGUCAACUUAUUUAGUAGCUGGUGUUGUUGGCCUAUUUGAACAUAUUGAAGAUACAACAUCUGAUGGUAUGUACAUAGGUGGGAGACUGUUCGAUUAUUUAACCGAUUCGUCUUUAGAGACUACUGAAAAAUUUGUUUGCAGGGGUAAAGGUUCGUGCAUAUUGCCCUGUUGGGAAGAGUGACAAAGGGGAGUUUGCUUUAAAUCUUGCUGUUAAGACGCUUGAUCUUUUCUCUAAGUAAUCUACUUCAUUCCUUAGAUGGGGGAAUUUUAAAGUUUAUGUAUUUCGAUUCUUUGUUUAUACAGAAUGACAUUAGAUCCAGGACUCUGUAGUCUAACAAACAUUCCCAUGAUUUUUGGCCUUCCCUUUUGUUCAAGGGGAGGUAAACUUUUAACUAAUUUUCCCCCAUAUAUCUUCCAAACUAUACCACUGAACCCUAGCUAAAUAUCAAUGCAAAAUGCCGGAACAGCUUGAAUUUCUUCCCUCCACCCUUUGCGGUUUCCAGUUUCCACCUCCAAUCAUUUCCCAAAUAAUUGAAGGAUCUCUGGAGAACCUGGAGUCAUUACCCAUGGGGCAUGGCUACCUCUGAAAAUAAACAACGUAAAUUUACAAUCCAAAUUAUACAUAAUUUUCUUUCUGUUCUCUGUUGUGCUAAUUCUAACCUGGUUAUGGUUUCAACCAGAUACUUCUCAACGCCUUACCCACUUCCCAAACUUGAUAUGGUUGCGGUUCCUGAAUUUUCUGGUGGGGCCAUGGAGAAUUAUGGUUUGAUCCCAUACCGUGAAAAUGAAAUGCUUUAUGAUCAUUUGCAUUCCACAACAGCAAGGAAGCAAAGAGUAUAUUUUCAGCUUUGUUACACUUUUGCAGUCAUACGAUACUCUACAUAAAUCAGAACUUUUGAAGGGGAAGCUUUCUUUAGUUUCUCUUGUAUAGUUUCUACUCUUAAAAGUCCGGUGAUGUAUGUUCUAUACUAUAUCCUUUUUCCUGAAUGGAAAAUAUGGUCUCAAUUUCUUCACCAAACUACUGGUGGCCUAGUCAAGGAUGCACUGGAACAAUCACAUCCAAUUGAGGUAAAGAACAACAAAUACUAUUGCUCAUUGUGAAAACUGCUGAAAACAAUAGUGUCUAUGUAUGUAUAUGGAGCAGUAAGAAGUCAAGGAGCAAUGGAAUAUGAUAGUUUCACUUGAAUGAUCAAAGUGCCCAUAUUUAUCUUAACAUUGAUCCUGAAAAAAGAAAGAAAGGGGAAACUGCUCCAUGCAGCAUACUUACUGCUGUUUCGCAUAACUUCAGGUGGAGAUGCACCAUGCUCGUUCAAUUCUCGAAGUUUUCGGUGAUAUCAGCUACAAAAAGGGAUCUGCUGUUAUUCGAAUGCUGCAGAGUUAUCUCGGGGAUGACAUAUACCCGGUACAAAAUUGAUGUCCAUAAGUACCAAUGAGUUUAAUUUUUCAUGCAUCACCAAGAACUUCAAGUUUUCAUAGUGAAUAUUGUAUGUGGAAAUACUCUUCUUAUCACCAAAUGCACUGCUUGAAAUUAGCCCCGGCACUUAGGAAAUUUUCUGAAAUGCCAGGUGCAAUCUAAUGCCCAGCACUGAGCAAUUCUCUCUCUCAAAAUAUAAACAUAAACCCAUGAAAACUGCAAUUAAUGGUUCUUUUAUCUCAUAAAGUGCCAAUGUACAUAGAGUUCUGAACAAAAAGGUCUGAAUGGCAAAGACAAGUUAUAUUGUUCAUUCUGAAGUCAUUCUAGUUUGCAGUUCAUUAUCAGUUUACUCUGUAAUGAGUGAAAAAUUAUUAACAUAGUUCAAUUUAUCUCUUUUAACUGUGAUGCUUCAUAUUAAAUCAGAAAUCGUUAAGUUCCUACAUAAAAUGAUAUUCUGGAUAAAUUUCUGUUGGUGAUCAUCAAUUACACCAACUAUUUUUGGUAGCAUCACCUUUUGUGUUAUAUAUGCAACAGGUUUGUUAUAAUGUCGUCAAAAUAUCAAGUGAGGCCAUCCCAGAUUCAGCAAAUGAUUUGAAACAAUUUUUCAUCAAUCUCCUUCUGUUUCCAGCAGAGUAAGAACAACUCUAAUACAGUUUCGAUAUCGUAAUACCUUCCAUGUUAAACUUAUUGGGUUAUAUACGUGCCUAUAUACGUGCUAAAAUGAACAGUGUUUGUCCUUAUGAUGUAUUCCAGUCUCUUUGAGCUCAUGCUUGCAGUAAUGUUCCGGUUUAUGUGGCUGAUACUUCAUUUAGGAUCACCAGAAAAAACUUUGAUGCUACCGUACUUAGAUGUCAUAUCUGAAAUUUUUUCAUGCAGAAAACUAGGUUGGGAAUCAAGGCCUGGAGAGGAUCAUUUCAGUGCACUUCUGAGAGCAGAAAUCUUGCAGGCCUUGGUUAUCUUUGGCCCUGAUCAAACUCAGAAAGAAGCAUUACACCGUUUUCAGACAUUAUUGAAUGAUGGAAACACUCCACUUCUUUCAGCUGAUACAAAAGGGGUAAUUAAAUCUUGGGUUUAUUACAGUUUUGGUCACUGAGGGUGGGCUUGCACGUGAUAAAUGUGUGCAGGGCAAAAUUGUAUUUCCGCCAUUUAAACAAUUAUUAGUCAUGACCGUUGGAGGUCAGACCAUUAAAACCCAUCCUUCAAAAUAAUAAAAAAAAAUUACAUGUGGUCACCUUUUUAAAUGUUUUCAAGUAUUGUUUAAAAAAUAUUAUAAUUAAAUUAAAUAAUAUAUAGUUGUGGAAUGUAUGAGUAUUGUAUUAUAAUUUUUUUCAAAAUAAUAAAAUAUGAAGGAUCUUAAAAUAUAGUCAUGCAUGGCUAGAGAUGGAAAAAUUUAGUCAUGCACUAUUCUUUAAAAAAUUAAUAUUUUGAAGGGCUAAAUUUUUAGUCAUAGACUACAUUUAGCCCUGUGAUUGGAGAUGGCUUAACAAUUUGAUCACUAAUUGAUACUAGCAUAGUAUCUUAUUUUAUUUUUCUUAUUAUUAACAAGAAAUUGUCACAUCAGUUGGUAAUCAAAAUUUGAUUGAGGAAAAAGAAUUUAUAUGAGAAUGUUCUUGCCAAGUGGUAAUGAAUAUUGUGAAAAGAAUCCAGUUUAAAGAUGAGGGAUUCGAAUUGUCGUUGUAAUAUGCAUUGGAAAAAAAUUAUAAAGUGCUUACUUUUGUUUUUCUAUUAAAAACAAAAUUACAUUUGUUUGCGCUAGUGGGCUAUAACUCAAGGACUCCGAGCCUUUGUAUUUAGAAAUAGUGUAUUUACUCACAUUUCAUAAAAUCUGGACCAUUCAACUAAUUUAAUGCUUGUCAAUAUACCACAUCACCUACGGUAAGUUUGUUUCUUUAAAAAAAAAACAAGCGUUGUUUGUGUAAAUCAUGAGGCUCGAAAUUUUCAUACACCCAAUGAAUAUUUGUGUAAACCACCCUCCCUCAGUCGUUUGUAUUAAAAAAAAUUACACUAAUUUGCUUGAGGUUUUGUGUAUUUUUUUUCAUUGGAUUCCACUUGAAAUGGGCAACUGAUCUCAAUACAAAUAUGUUAGCGUCCAAUUUGAAUUAGUAAUGAAUUUAGCGUCCAAUUUGAAUUAGAAAUGAAUUGACUCAUUUGGGAUUGUUUUUCUAGAAAUCAUUGUUGCUCAUAAGUGCUUCUAGAAAAAAACAUUUUUGUUAUGAAGAUGUUGAAAUUUUCAUAAGAAAUUGAAAUGCUUUUAGGAAAAGCACUUGAGAGUGCUUCUGGUCUCCUUUGGGACUACUUCUUUAGAAAGUACUUCUGCUCAUAAUUGCUUAUAACAAAGGCGCUUAAGUAUAAAAAUGUUGAAAUUUUUAUAAAAAUCAAAGUGCCAGGAAAAGCACUUGGGAGUGCUUUUUUAUUUUUUGGUUAUAAAAAGUUUAAGGGGAGGGGAGGCUACCCCAUCCCAAGGUCAGGGCUUACCAAAGCCUUUUUGAGGACUUACGGAGGGGGUCUUAGCCUAUUUUUUAGUUUUUACAGAUUACCCACCAAUAUGGAUUGUCGACAGUGGGAUUUGAACCUAUGCAUGGAUGACAAAUAGAACGAUCCUUAUCAACUCAAUCAACCAUUGUUGGUAGCACGUGGGAGUGCUUCAUGAAGAAGCAUAUAGCAGGUUCUUAUCAAGAAAACGCUUUUAUGACCCAUAAGUAUUUCUAAAUUUUUCUGUAAAACACUAUCAGAAACACUUUUGGUUGUCAGAAAGCGCUUUUAGCCCUUUUAAAAGCGCUUAUAUGACCUAGAAGCAUUUCUACCUGUCAAAUGAUGUCAAAAGUGCUUUUCGUUAUUAAAAAAAAUUAUUUUCAAUCCUUCCAAAAGCACUCCCAAACAUGCAUUAUUACAUUUGCAUACUUUUAUUCUAUUCCAAUGAUCCAAACAGGAAAAACCCCUCCCCACAAAAGGAUCAAUAUUUAUAUCUGUCACGUGCCAACAGAGACCAAUUACAUCCAUGCACGUACAUGACAAAACCACACAAUUAGUAUGGCAAACAACCAAUUAAUCCAAAUAAAUAAAUAAAAAUAAUAAAAAUUGGUACCAAAUCUUGAAUUCCAUUCCCAUACAAAUUAUGACAAUCAUGAACUCCCCAAUUCCAGCACUCAACACAGACCCUCAUUAGAUGCAUAAUGCAUUCCCAUGAUUAGUUAGUUUUGUAAGGGGGCCUUGUGAGUGUGUUGUGCUCAAGUGCUGCUCUUGUGUACUCUUAUGUUCUUGUUAUUUGAUUUAAGAUUAGGCAUCUUCUAUGUGCUUUUUGAGCAACUGUUUUUGUUUAUAUUACUCGGGGAUCAAUUCUGAAGCAGAAUUUGCCAAAUUUUGUACGGGGUAAUUAUCAUUCGAAUUUCAUCAGUUUUCUUUAUGGUGAGUUUCUUUAGCUCCCAAGUGGCACCCAAUUUUUUUACUUUCAUUCUCACUUAUCACUUGCUUUGUUAAUUGUUUGUAAGUAGGUGGAAAUUUCUGGUUUUCUUUUAUCCUAUUUGCUUUCUGGGUUUUUAAUUUAAUGCGCACCCACAUAUGAUAUGAUAUCUUAUGGUUUGGGGUUAUUCCUUCGAUGCUUUUGCAAUCUUUAAUUCGUUCCCUUGAAGAGAUUCAUGCUACUGUCGAAAUUGACAGAUACAAUGGUCCAAUUUUCCCACUCUUGAAAAUGACAGAUAUCUAUUCUAUACUAAAGAAAUAAAAGGAUAAUAUAUAAACCGUCUCGCAUGUGGAUGCAUCUAAUCAUAGAUUAAAUAUAUUUUUUUUAGUAGAAGUGAUAGUUUAAACAGUUAAAAGAAAUUUACCUAAUUAAUAAUAAAAUGAAAUGUGGAAAAAUUAUCUUAUGUGUCAUUGUGCUAUUGGUUGGAAUAACAAAAAGUGAUAUCCUGUUGCAUGAGAGUUUCUCUCCUAAACUACAGGGGAAUGAGGUUUCUCUCACACACAAACUAAGAUGUUAUGGAAUUUCGAACCUGAGAUCUAUGGUCUACAAGUCAAUAUCCCUUUUCACUAGGAUAUUUUGGCAAAUAGAUUAAAUACUUGAUUAAAUCUAAAAACGUUUUCGCCCAACCAAAAGCUCUUUUCUAAUUUUCACUCUGUGCAUGAAAUGAUUCUUAACGUCACUUCUUUCCACCAUUUAUGUCAAUGAACGACUUGACUUGACAAUCCCACAAACGGAAGUCUAAAAGACACAAACAAGAUAGGAUACAUGGGCAUGUUGACUUUUUGAGCAAAAGCACAAGGCUGAAGCAUCAGCAGCUAACUGCCAUUGCCGCCUGGUCACGAUAUAAGCAAAGAAGCUUAGGUUACAAACGUGUGGUCUGAAGUUUUUCUCCGAAAUGGAGCAGAAACAAAGCAUAGAGCAAUUCAAAGGCCGAGCUCGGCUACCAAACUUUGCAAUCCCAAGGCGCUAUGAUCUUCAUCUCAGGCUUGAUCUCUCAGCAUGCACGUACUCCGGCACCGUGCAGAUUAACGUUAGCAUCGUUGAAGAGACCAAGUUUCUUGUCUUGAAUGCUCUUGAACUUGAUGUUCAUGAAGUUUGCUUCACCAACUCUCAUGGACAAGUAACUGAUUCUGAUCACUGACUUGAUCCGAUUCGAUUUUGUUUAUUGGGUUUUCUUUUAACUGACAGUUUUAUUCUUUACUUGUAGCAGUACCGCCCAAGUGAUGUUGUUUUGGAUGGUGAUGAAGAAUUUCUUGUUUUGGUGUUUGAUCAAGCACUUGGUGUUGGUGAAGGAGUUUUGGGAAUUGGGUUUUCUGCGGUCCUUGAUGCGCACUUGAAAGGCUUCUAUAAAUGGUAAGAAAAUUUGUAUCAUUUUGUAGGUAAAUCAUAAGUUGCAGUUGUGAAAAAUUAUUUUUCCAAAGGCAAUGAAGUACUUUCAGGCGGGCUUUUUGUGGAAGAUGAAAUCUGUAGGCUGUCAAGUUACACAAAUUCUUCAUCCUUACCUGUCUGUUUGGUUGCUAAGAUAGAGACAGAAUACAAGAAAAAACUGAAUUUAGAAUUACCACUUAGCUAAGCUUAAAACAAAUACAAGCGCCUGUAGUUUGGAAGGAAAUAGAGGGAAAAAAUUUCAUUUAUCAAAGAAAGUGGGCCUUUAAUUGUGUUUUAUUUGCUUUUGUCCCUUGUAGUUUCUUUGCUACCAAAUAAGGUUUUUAAUGAAAGCAUUUGACAAUUUGCACAGCACUUACUUGGAUGGAGGAGAGAAAAAGAAUAUGGCCGUCACUCAAUUUGAACCUGUGGAUGCAAGGCGAUGCUUCCCAUGUUGGGAUGAACCUGCGCUCAAGGUAUGUGUAUUCGAGAAGUUCCCGUAAUUGUUGAAACUCUUUUCGAUGCAAUCUCUGUGUUCAUUUGCUAAAAAGCCCCUGGGAAAGUUGAAUCUUUUCUCCACCACAUUGGUCAAACGGUUGUAUAAAUGUGUUUUUGGUUGUUCUAGAUUUGCUUGAAUCUGAGAGUUGCUCAUUUCUGCUUUGACAUUACUAGUACAUUCUUGACAGGCCACCUUCAAGAUUGCAGUAGAUGUACCAUCAGAGCUGACAGCUUUGUCCAAUAUGCCAAUUAUCAGUGAAAAGCUUGAUGCAAAUGUUAAGACUGUUUAUUUUGAGGAAUCUCCUAUUAUGUCAACUUAUUUAGUAGCUGUUGUUGUUGGCCUAUUUGAACAUAUUG